CUGAUAUUCAGGAUCAGCUUUUCCUUGUAUUUUGGUCAUGUAUUUCUUGGUAAAUAUGAUAUCAAUAACGCUCGCUCUUCCUUCCCGUUUAGAUGAUGACCUCUAGGGUCAUCAAUACUGAAUGCUUUUUGAUUUCACGUGGCAGAAGGGGCCCCUGAAUCCAACUGAGAUCACCGCUAUUUCUGUAUAUACAGAUUGAGGCUUAACUGCAUGGAGUAGUUUUUUAUUGUUUCUGUCCAGGAGGAUGAAGCAAAGAUUCUGAUUUAAUAAGUGAUGUGUUUGAGACAUGGUUGAUGACAAGCAAUCAUUGAUUUACCCAGUUCUAGUUUUCAAACACAGCAAUUGUUUUCCUAUUUUGUGGCCACUGCCUCUGAAACUAUAUCAUGUAAGGAGAAGUCCAAAGCAUACAAAGAGAAUGGGAGCACUCUAACAAUCCUUUUUCUCGUAA